rnacentral:rRNA from 1 species
CCUACGGGUGGCAGCAGUGGGGAAUAUUGCACCAUGGGGGAAACCCUGAUGCAGCGACGCCGCGUGAGUGAAGAAGUAUUUCGGUAUGUAAAGCUCUAUCAGCAGGGAAGAAAAUGACGGUACCUGACUAAGAAGCCCCGGCUAACUACGUGCCAGCAGCCGCGGUAAUACGUAGGGGGCAAGCGUUAUCCGGAUUUACUGGGUGUAAAGGGAGCGUAGGUGGCAUGGUAAGCCAGAAGUGAAAACCCGGGGCUCAACCCCGCGGAUUGCUUUUGGAACUAUCAGGCUGGAGUGCUGGAGGGGUAAGCGGAAUUCCAGGUGUAGGAGUGAAAUCCGUAGAUAUCUGGAGGAACAUCAGUGGCGAAGGCGACUAUCUGGCACAUAACUGACGCUGAGGAGCGAAAGCGUGGGUAGCAAACAGGAUUAGAUACCCGGGUAGUC